UACGUAGGGCGCGAGCGUUGUCCGGAAUUAUUGGGCGUAAAGAGCUCGUAGGCGGCCUGUUGCGUCCGCUGUGAAAUCCCAGGGCUCAACCCCUGGGCGUGCAGUGGAUACGGGGCAGGCUGGAGGCAGGCAGGGGGAGAACGGAAUUCCCGGUGUAGCGGUGAAAUGCGCAGAUAUCGGGGAGGAACACCGGUGGCGAAGGCGGUUCUCUGGGCCUGUACUGACGCUGAGGAGCGAAAA
rnacentral:rRNA from 1 species